rnacentral:rRNA from 1 species
UACGGGGGGGGCAAGCGUUGUUCGGAAUUACUGGGCGUAAAGGGCUCGUAGGUGGCCAACUAAGUCAGACGUGAAAUCCCUCGGCUUAACCGGGGAACUGCGUCUGAUACUGGAUGGCUUGAGAUCGGGAGAGGGAUGUGGAAUUCCAGGUGUAGCGGUGAAAUGCGUAGAUAUCUGGAGGAACACCGGUGGCGAAGGCGGCAUCCUGGACCGACACUGACGCUGAGGAGCGAAAGCCAGGGGAGCAAACGGG